rnacentral:snoRNA from 15 species
ACUGGCAAGGAUGACACACUUGCCCUCUCUUAGACCUAGGUCAUUGAUGAGAGCAUCUAAUUGUUCUGAGCCAGU